GUCUGUGUGACAUAAUGGUUUGAGUAUUGGACUACAACUCUGGAGACCAGGGUUCGAUUCUCAGAUCAGCCA